AGCAGCCGCGGUAAUUCCAGCUCCAAUAGCGUAUAUUAAAGUUGUUGCAGUUAAAAAGCUCGUAGUUGAAUUUCGGGGUCAGUAGGUCGGUCGUGCCACUGGUAUGAACUGGUUUUACUGAUUCCUCCCUCUUGAAGAACUGUAAUGCCAUUAAUUUGGUGUUGCAGGGAAUCAGGACUGUUACUUUGAAAAAAUUAGAGUGUUUAAAGCAGGCUUUAGCUUGAAUACAUUAGCAUGGAAUAAUGAAAUAGGACGUUUGAUCCUAUUUUGUCGGUUUCUAGGAUUGACGUAAUGAUUAAUAGGGAUAGUUGGGGGCAUUAGUAUUCAAUUGUCAGAGGUGAAAAUUCUUGGAUUUAUUGAAGACUAACUACUGCGAAAGCAUUUGCCAAGGAUGUUUUCAUUAAUCAAGAACGAAAGUUAGGGAUCGAAGACGAUCAAAUACCGUCGUAGUCUUAACCAUAAACUAUGCCGACUAGGGAUCGGAUGAUGUUAAUUUUUAAUGUACUCAUUCGGCGCCUUA
rnacentral:rRNA from 1 species